rnacentral:rRNA from 1 species
ACUCAAAUGAAUAGACGGGGGCCCGCACAAGCGGUGGAGCAUGUGGUUUAAUUCGAUGCAACGCGAAGAACCUUACCAGGGUUUGACAUCCCCUGACAGGCAUGGAAACAUGUCCUCGUCCUUCGGGGCGCAGGGAGACAGGUGGUGCAUGGCUGUCGUCAGCUCGUGUCGUGAGAUGUUGGGUUAAGUCCCGCAACGAGCGCAACCCUUGUCCUAAGUUGCCAACGAGUAAAGUCGGGAACUCUUAGGAGACCGCCGGCGACAAGUCGGAGGAAGGUGGGGAUGACGUCAAGUCAUCAUGCCCUUUAUGCCCUGGGCGACACACGUGCUACAAUGGCCGGUACAGAGGGCGGCGAAAGCGCGAGCUGGAGCGAAUCCCCCAAAACCGGUCCCAGUUCGGAUCGCAGGCUGCAACUCGCCUGCGUGAAGUAGGAAUCGCUAGUAAUCACGGGUCAGCAUACCGUGGUGAAUACGUUCCCGGGCCUUGCACACACCGCCCGU